AAACUUACCUGGCGGGGGGCUCUUCCGAACAGGAAGGCGGGACCCUCAUGGUGAGACCUAUGCACUGCACUUUCGCAUGGUCUGAUUCAUGUGGAUGCUUCGAGUUGAAGUAAGCCAACAGCUGAAUUUUUGCGUGUGGGGCUGUGUUUGCGCGGCCCUGU
rfam:Angiostrongylus cantonensis strain Taiwan genome assembly, scaffold: ACAC_scaffold0002311